GCGACGUUAGCUCAGUUGGAUAGAGCAAUUGCCUUCUAAGCAAUAGGUCAGAGGUUCGAAUCCUCUACGUCGCG
rnacentral:tRNA from 1 species